rnacentral:tRNA from 1 species
CGGGCUGUAGUAUACCGGUAGUACACACGCUUCGGGUGCGUGCAGACCGGGUUCGAUUCCCGGCAGCCCGACAA